GGCACAUCGAAUCCAUCGUCAUCUUCUCUCCUUCCAUCACUGCAUUUUAUUUUUGCAGGUGAGGUCUCUGCUAUCCAUACAGUUCUACUCGGGGAAAAAAAAUCAGAUUGAAUGAAGCAAACCAAAACAGAAGUAACACUUUUAUUUUCAUUUCAUUUCCUCUGUCUUAAAUAGCCUGGUUUCCAUGUGGAGAUACUGCUUAAUUCCUACACCCUUAUUUUGUAUUUCUAACUAACAUACCGUUUUCACUUUGAUUGUCUACUCUUAAACUGCUUUUUUCUAGAGAAGACGAUAACCAUUUGCCAUUUGUGUAGGUAGACAUUGUCCUAAUACUUUAACGUAAGCAUGGAUUUUUUUCACUUUCUCUCUGCUAUUAAACCUGUGAGGCAGAAAUUAUUAUUCCCAUUUUAUGGAUGAGGAAAUGGAGGUUCAAGAGGUUAAGUAAUUUGCCCAACAUCCUAGACUCAAAAAUUUCAGGUAUGGGAUUUAAUCCAAGGUCUGUGUUUCUUACCAUUACUAUGCAGCCAGGAUACAUGAGCAAAUCUACUGGUUUCAAGACUACAAAUGAGACUAAAAGAGUGUAGAAUGACUUAAAUUCUAAAUCAGCUUUCAGUCCAACUUUCUCUCCAUUUCCAGCACCAUUUGCUCUUUCUAAUUCCUUCUUAAAGGGCUUUGUGUUUUCCAUCUUUUUUCUGUCAAAUUUGCUCUUCCCACAGAUGCUAGACAUGUCUUUCAAAUGUAAAUCUGAUAGUAUUAUUUUCUUCCUUAAGCUUCUUUGGUGUUUCCCUUCACCUACACUAGCAGUUUUCCAACUGUUAUUGCACGCAGGUGCUCUAGUGAUUCAGCAAACGCUCGAUUAUGUUUUAGUUUGAAAUAGUUGUAAUCUUCUAUACUGUUUCAAGAGAUCAAGUGUGUUUAAAUGAAAUUUAUUUUUAACCUUUUGAAACUGGUGUGGGAUUAAGGGGCAGUCUACCAGCUGAUUGCUCACAAUGCCUGAGGAGAAGAGGCAUGGAAACCUCCCUAAUAAGAAUAGGUGUUUAUAUAUAUCUAUAUCUAUAAUAUAUAUAUAUAUAUAUAUUAUAUAUAUAUAUAUUAUAUAUAUAGAUAUAUAUAAUAUAUAUAUAUAUUUUAAUUUUGGAAAGACAGAGAGAGAGAGAGAGAGGGAGAGAGAGAGAAUCUUAAGCAGGCUCCAUGCUCAGUGUGGAGCCUGACCUAGGGUUCGAUCCCACGACCCUGGGAUCAUGACCUGAGCUGAAAUCAAGAGUCGGACACUCAACUGACUGAACCACCCAGGCCACCCUCCCCCCCAAAAUAGGUAUUUUUAAUGCCAAUAAACUCAGAUUUCUAUGAGGCACCUUUAACAUCAUCAGCAGAAUGUAAAUUUGUUCUUCCCUCGAAGUAUUUAGUGCUCUCAAACAAAAAUAAACAAAAUAAAUCCAUAACAAAAAAACCCCGUAAUUUUUACUGGUGCUGACCUACAUUUGCUAAAUAUUUUACAGCUGGCACAGACUAAAUGCAUACCCCAAUCCCAGUCCUGUUGCAAACUGAUGUAGCCGAUGUGGUUAUUCUGAAUUAUCAGUUCUUUUUGAUGGAUAUGGGCACUGGCUAAUUUUUAGAGAUAGCUGAGGUCUGUAGGUUUCCAAGCCUACAGCUGUGCCGUGAUAGGAGCCGUUAAAAUGAUGGUUCAAUCUCAGACCGACUCCUACCACACAUACAAACCAUCUAUUAGCAAGAAAUUACAAAAAGUUGUAGUAUCACUUCUGAAAAUUUGAAGUCCCAGCUCUCUGUCCUUGCACUUUACAUAGAACAUUCACUCAAGCCAGAUGUGACAGCGUUUUAGCAGCCAGUUUUCUGGUCAAGGGAAGGAAAUAUUUUUCUGAUGAUGCGCUGCAGAAUCGCAAGCUUAGAGCUUUGCUUUGUAAGGUGUAGGACGUUGAGCUCAUUGGAUUCUUGGGUGGAUUUCUUACAAAUUUCUAGUCAGUGGGCAUACCUUGAUAAAUGUUAAGAUCCAUUAUGCUACUUAACACAGUGUCCUCUGUAGCUGAUGGAGAAAGCAUUAGCACUUACAGUAGCUAUAUUUAUUUGAACUACGAGUUUGUAAAUAAUAGACUUCUAAAGGAUAACUAAGACUGGAGUUGUUUACUUACCACCUGUAAGUUACGGAGUAAAACAACUUGAACCCCAGCCUCACUAGAAUGAAGUAAAUGGACUCCAAAAAUUCACUCAUGUAACACACAGGUGAUCUUGGGAUAUGGGGCCUAGAGAACAUGGGGGAGGCUGCCUGAUCCUCCAAAGGGUAAGAACUACUGGACAUUGGCAGAACAUUGGAGAAUAAGGACUGGUCAGGUGAUGGGAGACAGUCCCAACCAAUUCAUGAUUAAAUGUGAGGUUUCAUGGGAUAUUUUUUGGCUUAUAUCAAACUGUCUCUGUUGAAGUAUUUCAAGAUAAACUGCAAACCAUAGAAGACCUCACUAGCAAUCAAGUGAAAUGCCUACCAAGAGUCCCUUGAAGUUGACUGUCCCAGUAACCAUGAGCUCUAACCUAAGUAAACGGUCACCCACUAGUCUUUAUUAGGAAUGUGUUUUAUUUUGUACCUCUGUAUUUUAAAAAUCUUUAAGAUGUGUUUCAGGAAAAUGUUUAAUUUGGAAAAUUACAAAAGAGCAUUGAAGGGGCACCUCGGUGGCUCAGUCAGCUGAGUGUCCGACUCUCAAUUUCUGCUCAGGUCAUGAUCUCCGUUUGUGGGAUCGAGCCCCACAUUGGGCUCUGUGCUGACUGUGCGGAGCCUGCUUGGGAUUCUCUCUCUCUCCCUCUCUCUCUGCCCCUCCCCACUCUCACGCUCUCACUUCCUCUCUCUCUCUCUUUCUCUCUCUCAAAAUAAGUAAAUAAACUUUAAAAAAGAACAUCAAAGAGAAAGUAAAAAUAAUAGAAUAUUAGGAAAUGUUUUCCCACAUAAAACACUGCAAAGAUCAAAUAUAUUUUAAAGAAAAUUUGAGAACUAUUAGCCAGUGUACUUCAGGGGUUUGUGUAGCCAAUGUUAACUAGUUAGAAGUGAUGAACAACUUGAAAAAUAAUUCCAAAAAUUAUAUUUAGUGUAUAGAAUGUCUUCAUUUUUCAUGCAGAAAUAGUUGUUAUCAAUUUUAGUUUGCAGGCCCUUGUGAUAAAUGUAGCAUAUAAGCUGCAAAAUGGGCUCUGGAGAUAGAUGGCCUGGAUUUGGAACCUGGCUCUUCUCUUUAUUUACUGUACAAUUCUGUUGUUUAAUUUCAAGCUUUAUUUUUUUUAAUUUUAUUUGAGGGAGAGAGAGAGGGAGUGCAUGCACAUGUGCUCGAGAGUGAGCAGGGGAGGGGCAGAGGGGGAGAGAGAGGAUCCCAAGCAGGCUCCACUCUCAGCGUGGAGCCGGACCCAUGACAGGGUCCCAUGACCCUGGGAUCAUGACCUGAGCUCGAAUCAAGAAUCGGAUGUUCAACCAACUGGGCCACCCAGGCAACCCUGUUUAAUUUCACCGUUUCCUACUCCCUUGUGAGUAAAAUGGGAUAAUGUUAGUACCUACUACAUAGGGUGAUGUGAGGAUAAAAUGAGUUGAAUAUGUAAAAUGCUAUGACUAUUGCCUGGCUCAUAGGAAGUGUUUUAAAUUAAGCUUUUUUUUUUUUUCCUGAACGUCUAAACUAUCUGAUAUACUCUGACUUACCCACUGACUUGCCCUCCCUAAACAUGUUUGAGAGUCUUAUAAUAAAGAAAUUUCAAGGAAUGACUGUUCCUGAAGUUCAGUCCAUGUUGGUAGUAACGUCUGUUGUCAGAAUAAUGAUGUCCUAUAAAAGUGGAUGUUUCUCUGACUCUAUGCCAAUUUCAGGCAUUUUCCUGUUGUAAUCACAGGAAAGGUCACCAAAGACCAACCACCUUAGGUUACCAAUCUGUUGUUUAUGAAUUCCCUGCGGUGUUGGGGAAAGAACAGGUGAUGAGCCCCUGCUAUUCACAGAAUGCAUAAUACUCUCAUUCCCUCCGGAGUUGCAAGGGAGAACCCUGGCGAUCUCUUUCCUCAGUGACGGACUGACUUCUACAGUCUAAACUUGAUGCAUAAGCUCGUGUUCUCAUUGGCAGCCACCAUUGCUCAACCUGCGACUCCAGAAGCUGCAGAGAAAAGUUCCUUCUUCUCCCUGUCCCCAGAGAGUCAGGGAUGGGCUCAGGAUCUGAGCUCAGCUGAAAGGACAUUGAUGACCAAGGUAGGGUAGGAAUCACUCAUGAAGCCACUGCAGUGUCCCCGCAGUGGAGAUGGUGUCCUGCUGCACACAGAUGCGUCCUACUGGAUUGUCGCUGCUGAAGGUUGAGUUGCCAUCAUCCUUGAUUUGGGAAGUUCAAGGUUGUCUCAGUUCCCGUGCACUUUCUAAGCUGUGUCUCCCGUUGCCAAUGCUCUGAGCCCCCAUACCUUCCAGUGAUCUGUCCUGCUUGUCUCAAUAUCCAGACUUGGGAAUUUCUUACUUGGUAAUGAAAGUUUUUGAAUACUUAUUUAUUUUGAGAGAGAGAGAGAGAGCAUCCAAGCAGAGGAGGGGCAGAGAGAAAGGGAGAGAGAGAAUCCAAAGCAGGCUCCAUGCUUAGUGCUCAGCUCGGAGCCCAGUGCAGGGCUCGAUCCCACGACCAUGAGAUCAUGACCUGAGCUGAAAUCAAGACUCAGAUGCUCAACCAACUGAGUCACUCGGCACUUGGUAAUGACAAAUUUUGGAUACAAAGAAGAAAACUGUUUCCUAAAAGAACUCCAACCCUAUCUCUGUCUGUAGUAAAUGUUAAGCAAGUAUUAAGGCUUUUGGUGAAAGGACUAUAAAUCCUUAGCCAGUCCUGGGGGCUCCCCUGAAGGACCCAUCCCUGGUCAGUUUAUUAACCCCUUCUUCAGGUUUGCUGGCACACAGGCUCUCCCUUUGUCCAUCAAGGUCCCAGAAUAAGGCUUCUUUUGCCACUUCUGCUUAACAAAAGUUGUUGAAUGACUAUUUGCAAAAAUUUCUCUCUAUGACUUAAGAGUUAUUUGGCUAAUAUGCAACCGAAAUUCAAUUUAGAAAUAAAUAUGCUGAGGGUGUGAUUGGUGGGGUUCACUGAAGUGGCCUCAUUGCCCUUGAUGCUUGACUAUUUAAGUUGACGUCACCAACUAUAGCUUGUGUAAUUAUACUAAUAAGGGACUAAGUUUUUUUCAUGUUUUAUUAAACUGGAUCUGUGGGUAGCUAUUGUUGGAAUAAGGGGUUAAUCCGCCUCAAAAGACUGAAAAGCGAUGCCCUGCAGAAUAUGCUUCAAAGUAUUUAGCAAAGGGUUAGAAAGCCCUCUAUGAUUUGGGCCCAACUACACUCUUCAGCCUCAUUUCUGUCUACAUAAUGACUCAUUCUGAAAACGUUCUGACAACUGCUCAGCUUGUAGUCCCGCUUUUUCCCUCCCACACAGUGUGUUGUUUUUGCCUCAUGUUUUGCCUUCUGCCUGCAAUGCUUUCUCCUCUCCUGUGAGUUGGUUAAGUGCUGCUACCCCUUAGGACUCAAUCAUUAGCAGCGGUGUCCUUCCUGCUCAUAUCUGUGUGGCCGGUGUAGGAUCCCUUUAAGGUGGCUCCCUCGUACCACAAGGAAAGAGAUCAUAAGAAAUAUAUAUUUCUUAUUUCUUAUAUAUCUCCGUCCCUAUUUCUGGCACAGAGCAACUAAAACCCCUGUAAAUUCCUAAGUGAUAAGAGCACUAGUAACCUUUUUUGUUCUAGUAUUUGGACUUCCAUCUGAGUUCCUGACAUAGGACUCUUGACACCCUUGAAACUUCCUGGGUGACAACAGUGUCUUUCGUUCCAAUGAGGUGACUCUGGGUGGAUUCUUGGAUGAAGGCUGGUUACCAGAAAGACCAUGCCGUGAGUUAGAAGCUUGGAAUUUUCAGUGCUUGCCCCCCGACUCCAUUCUUUUUUUUUUAAUAAACAAUUUUAUUUUUUAUUUUUUUUCAAUAUAUGAAAUUUAUUGUCAAAUUGGUUUCCACACAACACCCAGUGCUCAUCCCAAAAGGUGCCCUCCUCAAUACCCAUCACUCACCCUCCCCUCCCUCCCACCCCUCCCACCCCCCCAUCAACCCUCAGUUUGUUCUCAGUUUUUAAGAGUCUCUUAUGCUUUGGCUCUCUCCCACUCUAACCUCUUUUUUUUUUUUUUUUUUUUUUUUUUUUUUUAUUUUUUUUUUUUUNNNNNNNNNNNNNNNNNNNNNNNNNNNNNNNNNNNNNNNNNNNNNNNNNNNNNNNNNNNNNNNNNNNNNNNNNNNNNNNNNNNNNNNNNNNNNNNNNNNNNNNNNNNNNNNNNNNNNNNNNNNNNNNNNNNNNNNNNNNNNNNNNNNNNNNNNNNNNNNNNNNNNNNNNNNNNNNNNNNNNNNNNNNNNNNNNNNNNNNNNNNNNNNNNNNNNNNNNNNNNNNCAUAUGGUAUCUGUCUUUCUCUGUAUGGCUUAUUUCACUUAGCAUCACACUCUCCAGUUCCAUCCAUGUUGCUACAAAGGGCCAUAUUUCAUUCUUUCUCAUUGCCACGUAGUACUCCAUUGUGUAUAUAAACCACAAUUUCUUAAUUUCUUUAUCCAUUCAUCAGUUGAUGGACAUUUAGGCUCUUUCCAUAAUUUGGCUAUUGUUGAGAGUGCUGCUAUAAACAUUGGGGUACAAGUGCCCCUAUGCAUCAGUACUCCUGUAUCCCUUGGGUAAAUUCCUAGCAGUGCUAUUGCUGGGUCAUGGGGUAGGUCUAUUUUUAAUUUUCUGAGGAACCUCCACACUGUUUUCCAGAGUGGCUGCACCAGUUUGCAUUCCCACCAACAGUGCAAGAGGGUUCCCGUUUCUCCACAUCCUCUCCAGCAUCUAUAGUCUCCUGAUUUGUUCAUUUUGGCCACUCUGACUGGCGUGAGGUGAUAUCUGAGUGUGGUUUUGAUUCACUCCAUUCUUUUAAGAAAGGAGAAGCGCUGAAAAUGGAGGUGAUGAUUGAUCAUGUCUACGUGAUGAAGCCUGUGUAAAAAUUCCAAAGGUACAGAGUGUGAAGAGCUUCCGCGUCAUGAACCACAAGGAGGUGUGGAGACAGUGGCACACCCGGAGAGGAUGUGGAGGCUUCCCGCCCCUUCCCAGUACUGUGCCCUAAGCAUCCUUUCCACCUGGAUGUUCAUCUGUGUCCUUUAUCAUAUUCUUUUAUAAUAGACUGGUAGAUGCUAAGUAAACAGCUUUCCGGAAUUCUGUGCACUGCUCUAGCGAAUUAAUCAAGACUGAAGAGGAGACGGUGGGAAUCUCAGAUUUAUAGCUGAUUGGUCAGGAGCAUAGGUGACAGUCAGAACUUGCCACUGACAUCUGGAGAAGGGGGGUCGGAUGCAGUCUUGUGGGAAUGAGCCCUUAAGCUGUGGGAUCUGAUGGUACCUCCAGCUAGACAGUGUCAGAAUUGAGUGAAAUUGUAGGACACCCAGUUGGUGUCAGAACACCGCUUGGUGUUGGUGGGGAAAUGCAAUCUCCCCCCCAUUCGCAUUGGUUCCAGAACACCCUUUUAGACUCCAUGAAUGUUAAUACGUGUCAUGAUAGCGUCACGUUAAAACAGCUAACACGUCAAAUUUUCCGCAUUUUUGUUUGACACUGCAUACAUACACGUUAAAAAAAAAUGGGAAUGUGCUUAAUAUUCUCUAACUUAACCUGCUUCUCCUGCUUUUGUUUUCCCAGUUGAACUCUAGUUUGAGAGGUUUGCAAUGGUUUUUCCUAAUUCAGUUAACACUGACUGUGGUAUUGCAGAUAAGAACCACAAAGCCGUUGUGGUUCUCUUUCCUUUGUAAACCUGGGUUUUUUGUUUGUUUGUUUGCUGUUUUUGUUUAUCUUGGUGCUAUGUUUUGUGCAUGUGUACAAUGUGUGUAUCUGGACACUCAUAGGAAGUCAAAAGUUCUAGUAGGAUGUGUGUGUGUGUGUGUGUGUGUGUGUGUGUGUGUGUGUUUUCCCAAAGUGUUUUCAUCAGCUAUGGAAAUUUGUCAUACAUAAUUUGAUUAUUAAUUUCCGUAUUUUUUCCUUUUGUUUAAAGUGUGUUGGCGUGCCUAGAUUUACCAAACACGUAUUUUACCUUGUAUGUGUUGGAUCUUUUCACUUUUCCAUCGUUUUAAUACAGUUGAUCUUCACAAAUUGAGUUUCUAGAGCUUGCAUUUUGUUCUUGAAUUAUUAUGGGGUGAUGGAUUUUUUCAUUCACGCUUUCCAUUUCUAAGAGCUCUUCCUGCAAUCUGAUUGCCUCUCUUUGCAACUUGUUCUUGUUCUUAUCGCUGCCAUUCUCGUGAAUCUGGCUGAGAAUACUAAUUAGAUAUUUGCAAAGACCUCUCUGAUUCCUUUCACGAAUUCUGUUUUCUUUCAUAGUUUUUGUUCUCGUUUUCGAGUGCGAAGUUAUCGUUUCUGGCUGCUGUUUUCCUCACAUGCCCAGUGUUGUGUAUUGAUUGCUCAUGUUUAAGCAAAAAUGAAAAGGUAGCUCCUUGUUUGGAGAGCUGGUGCUGGUUCCUCCAGGGAUCCUGUCGCCCAGUGAUAAUCUUUCAGCAGGCGCUGUGGCCGCAGGUCUGUCUCCACUUCCUUCUCGCAUCUUUUGUAUUUGUAUCGGGCACCAUGGUGGCAGCAACACAGGGAGAGGAUUCAGAAUCCGACUCUUCUGUGUUCAGAUGUUUGCUGGAGAUCCUAGAGAACUGAUUUUUCCCCCUAAAAGUAUAGUUAAUUGAUUCUACACUAUUUUUGAUUGACUUCAUUCUCAGGUCUUUGCAAUGGAAAGGCAAUUAUGUACUCAAUUCAGAUAAAUAAGAAUAAAUAAGAAUAUAAAUAGAAAUUCUUAUAAAUAAGAACCCUGAGUUCUGUCUCCAGAAACACAAUCCAUUGAAGUUUUACUAAUAUUUUUGCAUAAGUAACCUGUUGUUUUAAGGUCCUUCUUACCUCUUCUUAUUAAAUAUCUUAGCUAUUUGGCCAUUUAUGAUUUCACAGAAUUUGCACUCUCCCUGGGAGUCCAAAUUAAACCUCUUAAGGUUUAGUUGAAAUUAUACAAAAUUAUUUCUUUGAAGAAUUAGCAUCUGAAAAAUUUCCUUCCACCUGUUCAGGCACAUAUUUCUAUAUUGUUAUAUGUGAUGCAUAUUUCCUAUUAAAAAAAAUUCCUACGCACUUUGUAUUUUAUAUUUAUUUUGAAUGUAAUUUUUUCCAUUACACAUCCUCACUGGUUAAAAUGGUGCCUAAGAAACAGUUGAUGUUUCAUAUUAUCAUUUGCAAGUGUUCAUCUUACACGUUUUUUUUUUCCUAUUUCUAUUAGGCUUUCAGGUAACUUUAUUGUAUUUUUUUAUUUAAAGAAGACAUAUUUCAGGGGCGCCUGGGUGGCUCAGUUGGUUAAGCGUCUGACUUCAGCUUAGGUCAUGAUCUCACAGUUUGUGGGUUUGAGCCCCUCGUCGGGCUCUGUGCUGACAGCUCAGAGCCUGGAGCCUGCUUCAGAUUCUGUGUCUCCCUCUCUCUCUGCCCCUUCCCCGCUUGUGCUCUGUCUCUCUGUCUCUCUCUCUCUCUCUGUGUCAAAAAAUAAAUAAAUAAUUAAAAAAAUAAAGGAGACACUUCAAACACAUAAAUGAUAUAACAAACAUUUGUAUCCAUCUCUUAAAAAUAAUAUUUAGCUAUAUUUAUUUUUUAUAUUUAAAAGUUAUAUAGGUGUAAUUAAAUAAAGUGAUUGAAAAUCCUUUUACAAUGCCUCUUCUCAAUCUUGUUACCUCCCUUCAUUAUGAGAAGAAAGCAUGAUCAUGAAUUGGUUGAUUAUCCUUCCUAUCUGUGAUUUAAUAAUUUUACUAUCUAUAAAUUUAUCUGUGAACAAAGCACAGUAUUAUUUUAAAUGGUUUAAAAUGUGCAUAAAUUAUAAUAUACUGCAUAUAUGGUUCUAUAUAUUUCCAAAAUUUUUUCACAUGACCAACCCUAUAUUCAAAGGGAAGUGAAAUAGAGCACAAUUCUUGAAAAAGUUGCUACAAAAGACUUUGGCCAUUAAAAAGCAAACCAACAACCAAUCAACCAAAAAACCUACUACAAUACAAAGAAUUAGAAACAACAUAACAGUUAUCCAAAUAUUAAGAUAUAAUUUGAUUUUUAAAACAUGAUAAUUAUAAUUGUAUAAUAUUUUGCUUCUUGGCUAUUCUAAAUUUUUUUCUACCAUUUUUCUUAAAAAAUUUUUUUUAAUGUUUGUUUAUUUUUUUUUUUUUUUUAAAUUUUUUUUUUUUUCAACGUUUAUUUAUUUUUGGGACAGAGAGAGACAGAGCAUGAACGGGGGAGGGGCAGAGAGAGAGAGGGAGACACAGAAUCGGAAACAGGCUCCAGGCUCUGAGCCAUCAGCCCAGAGCCCGACGUGGGGCUCGAACUCACUGACCGCGAGAUCGUGACCUGGCUGAAGUCGGACGCUUAACCGACUGCGCCACCCAGGCGCCCCAAUGUUUGUUUAUUUUUGAGAGAGAGAGAGAUUUUUCAGAGCAUGAGCAGGGGAGGGGCAGAGAGAGAGGGAGACACAGAAUCCAAGGCAGGCUCCAGGCUCUGAGCCGUCAGCACAGAGCCUGACGUGGGGCUCAAACUCACAAACUGUGAGAUCAUGACCUGAGUCUAAGUCAGACGCCUAACCGACUGAGCUACCCAGGCAUCCCAUUUUUUCUACCAUUUUUCUAUCAUUGUAUAUCUAAAUUAUGUAUUUUGGUUUUUUCCCAAGAGGCCUUUGUGUAAAUAAAUUUUUGUGUUUAUUUCUAAUUAUUUCUUUAUGAUAGAUCUGCGAAUUGAAAAUACCUCCAAAAUGCAUGGUUUAUUUAAAAAUAUUUUUUCCUAAUAAGUAACUUUUAUUUGCCGUCUAUAAAAAUUGUGGGCUUUUUUUUUCUCUGCCACCGGCAGAUAAUUGAGAUGGUUUACUUCAGUCAGGGUCCUUCAGAGAAAUAAAACCAAUAGGAUGCAUAGAAUAUAUGCAUAUGUAUAUAAACAUAUUUGUCUAUCUGUCUAUCUAUCUGUCUAUCUUCUGUCUAUCUACAUAUCUAUUUAUUUGUCUGUCUUCUUUCCUUUCAUCUGUAGAAAGACAUUAAUUUAUUAUAAAGAAAUGGCAAACUGGGGACCCAGGAAGGCCAGAGUCCAAAGGCCUGACAACAUACCUGAGUUUUGAUGGUGUAAGUUCCUGUUUGAAAACCAAUAGACUGGAGACUCAAGAAAAGUCAGUAUUCAGUUCAAGUUCAAAGGAGGAAAGAGAUCAGUGUUCUUGCUCAAGCAUUCAGGCAAGAGAGGUUCCUGCUUACUCAGCAUUUUUGUUCUGUUCAGGUCUUCACUUGAUUGAAUGACACCUGCUCACAUUACAGAGGACAAUCUGCUUUACUCUGUCUCCUGAUACAUGUGAAUCUCAUCCAGAAACACCCUCACAGAAAGCCCCAGAAUGAUGUUUGACCAAAUGUCUGGGCAUCUUAAUGGCCCCAUCAAGUUAACACCUAAAAUGAACCAUCGGAUGAAUAUAUUUGUUAUUGCCCUAUGGACUCCUAUCUUCUAUUCAUCAUCAUAUCUCAUAUGGACAGCCACUUAACAUCUUUACUAUUUGCCAAACGGAAAAAAAUAAUUACAAAACAUCUCUUUAGAAG
rnacentral:lncRNA from 1 species